rnacentral:rRNA from 1 species
CACACGACUCUCGGUAACGGAUAUCUCGGCUCUCGCAUCGAUGAAGAACGUAGCGAAAUGCGAUACCUGGUGUGAAUUGCAGAAUCCCGCGAACCAUCGAGUCUUUGAACGCAAGUUGCGCCCGAGGCCACUCGGCCAAGGGCACGCCUGCCUGGGCGUCACGC